GGCAAGAUGGCCGAGCGGUCUAAGGCGCCAGACUCGGCCGGAAAAAAGUUUCCCAGUUUUCAAUCACGGUAGCCUUCUGGUCUCGAAAGACGCAGGGGUUUAAAUCCCCUUCUUGUCA